AAGAAUUGCUCAGAGGGCCUCUAUAUUAUGUUUUAGUGUUAAUUUUGAGUGCGGUUCUCUUUUGGCGUGAGUCACCAGUUGGAGUAAUUUCAUUAGCAAUGAUGUGUGGUGGUGAUGGAAUCGCUGAUAUUGUUGGAAGAAGGUUUGGGUCCACAAAAUUACCUUAUAAUAAACAGAAAAGCUUGGUUGGUAGCCUCUCCAUGUUUGUUGUCGGUUUCCUGGUAUCCAUUGGGAUGCUGUAUUACUUCUCAGCGUUGGGAUAUUUUCAGUUGGAUUGGGUUUCAACUGUAGAAAGAGUAGCUUUGGUGUCAUUUGUAGCAACUAUGGUGGAGUCUCUCCCUAUUACUGGAAUGGUAGACGAUAACAUUUCUGUUCCUUUGGUAAGCAU
rnacentral:misc_RNA from 1 species